GGGUUGUGAGGUUAAGCGACUAAGCGUACACGGUGGAUGCCCUGGCAGUCAGAGGCGAUGAAGGACGUGCUAAUCUGCGAAAAGCGUCGGUAAGGUGAUAUGAACCGUUAUAACCGGCGAUGUCCGAAUGGGGAAACCCAGUGCAAUUCGUUGCACUAUCGUUAACUGAAUACAUAGGUUAACGAGGCGAACCGGGGGAACUGAAACAUCUAAGUACCCCGAGGAAAAGAAAUCAACCGAGAUUCCCCCAGUAGCGGCGAGCGAACGGGGAGCAGCCCAGAGUCUGAAUCAGCUUGUGUGUUAGUGGAACGGUCUGGAAAGUCCGACGGUACAGGGUGAUAGUCCCGUACACCAAAAUGCACAGGCUGUGAACUCGAAGAGUAGGGCGGGACACGUGGUAUCCUGUCUGAAUAUGGGGGGACCAUCCUCCAAGGCUAAAUACUCCUGACUGACCGAUAGUGAACCAGUACCGUGAGGGAAAGGCGAAAAGAACCCCGGCGAGGGGAGUGAAAAAGAACCUGAAACCGUGUACGUACAAGCAGUGGGAGCACCUUUAUGGUGUGACUGCGUACCUUUUGUAUAAUGGGUCAGCGACUUAUAUUCUGUAGCAAGGUUAACCGUAUAGGGGAGCCGCAGGGAAACCGAGUCUUAACUGGGCGUUAAGUUGCAGGGUAUAGACCCGAAACCCGGUGAUCUAGCCAUGGGCAGGUUGAAGGUUGGGUAACACUAACUGGAGGACCGAACCGACUAAUGUUGAAAAAUUAGCGGAUGACUUGUGGCUGGGGGUGAAAGGCCAAUCAAACCGGGAGAUAGCUGGUUCUCCCCGAAAGCUAUUUAGGUAGCGCCUCGUGAACUCAUCUUCGGGGGUAGAGCACUGUUUCGGCUAGGGGGUCAUCCCGACUUACCAACCCGAUGCAAACUACGAAUACCGAAGAAUGUUAUCACGGGAGACACACGGCGGGUGCUAACGUCCGUCGUGAAGAGGGAAACAACCCAGACCGCCAGCUAAGGUCCCAAAGUCAUGGUUAAGUGGGAAACGAUGUGGGAAGGCACAGACAGCCAGGAUGUUGGCUUAGAAGCAGCCAUCAUUUAAAGAAAGCGUAAUAGCUCACUGGUCGAGUCGGCCUGCGCGGAAGAUGUAACGGGGCUAAACCAUGCACCGAAGCUGCGGCAGCGACACUAUGUGUUGUUGGGUAGGGGAGCGUUCUGUAAGCCUGCGAAGGUGACCUGUGAGGGUUGCUGGAGGUAUCAGAAGUGCGAAUGCUGACAUAAGUAACGAUAAAGCGGGUGAAAAGCCCGCUCGCCGGAAGACCAAGGGUUCCUGUCCAACGUUAAUCGGGGCAGGGUGAGUCGACCCCUAAGGCGAGGCCGAAAGGCGUAGUCGAUGGGAAACAGGUUAAUAUUCCUGUACUUGGUGUUACUGCGAAGGGGGGACGGAGAAGGCUAUGUUAGCCGGGCGACGGUUGUCCCGGUUUAAGCAUGUAGGCUGGUUAUCCAGGCAAAUCCGGAUAAUCAAGGCUGAGGUGUGAUGACGAGGCACUACGGUGCUGAAGUAACAAAUGCCCUGCUUCCAGGAAAAGCCUCUAAGCAUCAGGUAACAUCAAAUCGUACCCCAAACCGACACAGGUGGUCAGGUAGAGAAUACCAAGGCGCUUGAGAGAACUCGGGUGAAGGAACUAGGCAAAAUGGUGCCGUAACUUCGGGAGAAGGCACGCUGGUGUGUAGGUGAAGCCCCUGCGGGUGGAGCUGAGACCAGUCGAAGAUACCAGCUGGCUGCAACUGUUUAUUAAAAACACAGCACUGUGCAAACACGAAAGUGGACGUAUACGGUGUGACGCCUGCCCGGUGCCGGAAGGUUAAUUGAUGGGGUUAUCCGUAAGGAGAAGCUCUUGAUCGAAGCCCCGGUAAACGGCGGCCGUAACUAUAACGGUCCUAAGGUAGCGAAAUUCCUUGUCGGGUAAGUUCCGACCUGCACGAAUGGCGUAAUGAUGGCCAGGCUGUCUCCACCCGAGACUCAGUGAAAUUGAACUCGCUGUGAAGAUGCAGUGUACCCGCGGCAAGACGGAAAGACCCCGUGAACCUUUACUAUAGCUUGACACUGAACAUUGAGCCUUGAUGUGUAGGAUAGGUGGGAGGCUUUGAAGCGUGGACGCCAGUCUGCGUGGAGCCAACCUUGAAAUACCACCCUUUAAUGUUUGAUGUUCUAACGUUGGCCCCUGACCGGGGUUGCGGACAGUGUCUGGUGGGUAGUUUGACUGGGGCGGUCUCCUCCCAAAGCGUAACGGAGGAGCACGAAGGUUAGCUAAUCCUGGUCGGACAUCAGGAGGUUAGUGCAAUGGCAUAAGCUAGCUUGACUGCGAGCGUGACGGCGCGAGCAGGUGCGAAAGCAGGUCAUAGUGAUCCGGUGGUUCUGAAUGGAAGGGCCAUCGCUCAACGGAUAAAAGGUACUCCGGGGAUAACAGGCUGAUACCGCCCAAGAGUUCAUAUCGACGGCGGUGUUUGGCACCUCGAUGUCGGCUCAUCACAUCCUGGGGCUGAAGUAGGUCCCAAGGGUAUGGCUGUUCGCCAUUUAAAGUGGUACGCGAGCUGGGUUUAGAACGUCGUGAGACAGUUCGGUCCCUAUCUGCCGUGGGCGCUGGAGAAUUGAGGGGGGCUGCUCCUAGUACGAGAGGACCGGAGUGGACGCAUCACUGGUGUUCGGGUUGUCAUGCCAAUGGCACUGCCCGGUAGCUAAAUGCGGAAGAGAUAAGUGCUGAAAGCAUCUAAGCACGAAACUUGCCCCGAGAUGAGUUCUCCCUGAGACUUUAAGUCUCCUGAAGGAACGUUAAAGACGAUGACGUUGAUAGGCCGGGUGUGUAAGCGCAGCGAUGCGUUGAGCUAACCGGUACUAAUGAACCGUGAGGCUUAACCUUACAACGCCGAAG
rnacentral:rRNA from 1 species